UACGGGGGGGAGCAAGCGUUGUUCGGAUUUACUGGGCGUAAAGGGCUCGUAGGCGGCCAACUAAGUCGGACGUGAAAUCCCUCGGCUUAACCGGGGAACUGCGUCCGAUACUGGAUGGCUUGAGUUCGGGAGAGGGAUGCGGAAUUCCAGGUGUAGCGGUGAAAUGCGUAGAUAUCUGGAGGAACACCGGUGGCGAAGGCGGCAUCCUGGACCGACACUGACGCUGAGGAGCGAAAGCCAGGGGAGCAAACGGG
rnacentral:rRNA from 1 species